UACGUAGGGUGCAAGCGUUGUCCGGAGUUAUUGGGCGUAAAGAGCUCGUAGGCGGUUUGUCGCGUCUGCUGUGAAAACUCGGGGCUUAACUCCGGGCCUGCAGUGGGUACGGGCAGACUAGAGUGCGGUAGGGGAGACUGGAAUUCCUGGUGUAGCGGUGAAAUGCGCAGAUAUCAGGAGGAACACCGGUGGCGAAGGCGGGUCUCUGGGCCGUAACUGACGCUGAGGAGCGAAAGCGUGGGGAGCGAACAGG
rnacentral:rRNA from 1 species